GAUGAACGCUGGCGGCGUGCCUAAUACAUGCAAGUCGAGCGAACAGACGAGGAGCUUGCUCCUCUGACGUUAGCGGCGGACGGGUGAGUAACACGUGGAUAACCUAUCUAUAAGACUGGGAUAACUUCGGGAAACCGGAGCUAAUACCGGAUAAUAUAUUGAACCGCAUGGUUCAAUAGUGAAAGACGGUUUUGCUGUCACUUAUAGAUGGAUCCGCGCCGCAUUAGCUAGUUGGUAAGGUAACGGCUUACCAAGGCAACGAUGCGUAGCCGACCUGAGAGGGUGAUCGGCCACACUGGAACUGAGACACGGUCCAGACUCCUACGGGAGGCAGCAGUAGGGAAUCUUCCGCGAUGGGCGAAAGCCUGACGGAGCAACGCCGCGUGAGUGAUGAAGGUCUUCGGAUCGUAAAACUCUGUUAUUAGGGAAGAACAAAUGUGUAAGUAACUAUGCACGUCUUGACGGUACCUAAUCAGAAAGCCACGGCUAACUACGUG
rnacentral:rRNA from 1 species